AUAGUGCAUUCAUGUGACUAAUUUAGCAGUGAUGAUAUUAUCUAAAGAUUAUAAUUCCAAUUCUACUUCUGAUGGUCAUGACAAAAAGAAAACUAAUUCAUAUACGGGCUAUGAUUUAUGACAUGUUUUUUGUCAUCCAUACCCCCUCUUCAGUGACCUUUCUUUUGAGAUGUUGCAUCCAACUGCUUACUUGACUAAUGGAAUCCUAUGAUGCUACUCCCAUAUUCCUUAAUAGUGUUAGAAGUUUUGUAGGUUUAUAAGAGCGAAUGAGCAAACAAAUGAAAAGAAUCUUUUUCUGAUUUAUGAUGACAGAUAUACAAUGAAAUAUGAUUCCCUAUAUUUUAUCCUGCAAUCUUAGUGUCAUAUAGGUUGUAGCUUUCUAAUUCCCUUUAUUUUUUGUCUCAGUUUUGCUCUCUAGAUUUUCCUACAUUCCUUGCUUUCUUUUAUCCACUUCACAAAUAUGAUUUUCCUUUCCUUUACAAUGCAAGCUGCACACUGGGAAAAUAGUCUGGGUUUGGCGCUUCCGAGGCUACUGCAGAUCACAACUUAUUCUUAGUAUCCAUGAUCACUGGGAAAAUCGGUCGGAUUAAAACCUGUAUACUAGACCCACGCAGUUCAAUUAUGAGAUGGGGUGCAUGCCUCUGGUGCAGAGCAGGACCUGUCGGAUGGGACCCAAAGCACCUUGGUGACCCUGAUCGCCUUCGCCGGUGUUGCGGUCGUGCCUGCACUGCUUCGCCACGCCGGGAUCACAAGCUGGGGCGUCCCAGCCCUCGCCGGCAUCGCACACUGAACCGUCAACGUGAGCCAUCUUCGGAGUCGUUUUUAUGUAUUGAACUUGUGAACUUGGAAUAAUGUGUACUUUUGAAUGUGUGGUUUGUAAUAUAUUGUGAAUUUCGUACAAAUUUGGUCGUUUGUGAUAUAAAUAUAUAUAAAUAUGG